rnacentral:ncRNA from 1 species
UAUAAUUCGUAGAAUGAGCCAGUAGAAUAUUCACUGUGUUAAAGCGAGCUGGGAUGGUGGAAGCCAGUACAUAAGGAAUAUUUGAAUAGAACUCAGGAGAAUAUAUCUGAAAUUAGUAGGAUAUUACGCUAGCAGCGUUAAAAUUUCGAGUGGGCAUUUGCCAACAAGAGUGGUAUCACGGGGUAGCUCUCGUCUCUUAU